rnacentral:siRNA from 1 species
ACCCGUUUCGCCAAAUCCGUCCC